rnacentral:rRNA from 1 species
CGUAGGUGGCAAGCGUUGUCCGGAAUUAUUGGGCGUAAAGCGCGCGCAGGCGGUCUCUUAAGUCUGAUGUGAAAGCCCCCGGCUCAACCGGGGAGGGUCAUUGGAAACUGGGAGACUUGAGUACAGAAGAGAAGAGCGGAAUUCCACGUGUAGCGGUGAAAUGCGUAGAGAUGUGGAGGAACACCAGUGGCGAAGGCGGCUCUUUGGUCUGUAACUGACGCUGAGGCGCGAAAGCGUGGGGAGCAAACAGGAUUAGAUACCCUGGUAGUCCACGCCGUAAACGAUGAGUGCUAAGUGUUAGAGGGUUUCCGCCCUUUAGUGCUGCAGCUAACGCAUUAAGCACUCCGCCUGGGGAGUACGGCCGCAAGGCUG